rnacentral:rRNA from 1 species
UACGUAGGGAGCAAGCGUUGUCCGGAAUCAUUGGGCGUAAAGCGCGCGUAGGUGGCCCCAUAAGUCCGCUGUGAAAGUCAAAGGCUCAACCUUUGAAAGCCGGUGGAUACUGUGGGACUAGAGUACGGAAGAGGCGAGUGGAAUUCCUGGUGUAGCGGUGGAAUGCGCAGAUAUCAGGAAGAACACCCGUGGCUAAGGCGGCUCUCUAGUACGGUACUGACGCUGAGACGCGAAAGCGUGGGGAGCGAACAGG